rnacentral:rRNA from 1 species
UGGCGGCGUGCCUAACACAUGCAAGUCGAACGAGGUCCAUCCUUCGGGAGAAGACCUAGUGGCGAACGGGUGAGUAACACGUGAGAAACCUGCCCCGAAGACCGGGAUAACCCCCCGAAAGGAGAGCUAAUACCGGAUACCCCCACCGAGCCGCAUGGUCUGGUGAGGAAAUGGAUUCCGCUUCGGGAGGGUCUCGCGGNCUAUCAGCUUGUUGGGGGGGUAACGGCCCACCAAGGCAUCGACGGGUAGCUGGUCUGAGAGGACGAUCAGCCACACUGGGACUGAGACACGGNCCAGACUCCUACGGGAGGCAGCAGUGGGGAAUCUUGUGCAAUGGGCGAAAGCCUGACGCAGCAACGCCGCGUGGGGGACGAAGGCUCUCGNNUUGUAAACCCC